UACGUAGGGCGCAAGCGUUGUCCGGAAUUAUUGGGCGUAAAGAGCUCGUAGGCGGCUUGUCACGUCGGGUGUGAAAAGCCCCGGGGCUUAACCCCGGGUCUGCAUUCGAUACGGGCAGGCUAGAGUGUGGUAGGGGAGAUCGGAAUUCCUGGUGUAGCGGUGAAAUGCGCAGAUAUCAGGAGGAACACCGGUGGCGAAGGCGGAUCUCUGGGCCAUUACUGACGCUGAGGAGCGAAAGCGUGGGGAGCAAACAGG
rnacentral:rRNA from 1 species